GAUGAACGCUAGCGGCAGGCCUAAUACAUGCAAGUCGGACGGGAUCCAUCGGUAGCUUGCUACCGAUGGUGAGAGUGGCGCACGGGUGCGUAACGCGUGAGCAACCUGCCCAUAUCAGGGGGAUAGCCCGGAGAAAUCCGGAUUAACACCGCAUGACACUGCUUUCCGGCAUCGGGAGGCGGUCAAAUAUUCAUAGGAUAUGGAUGGGCUCGCGGUACAUUAGUAAGUUGGUGGGGUAACGGCCCACCAAGGCGACGAUGUCUAGGGGCUCUGAGGGGAGAAUCCCCCACACUGGUACUGAGACACGGACCAGACUGCUACGGGAGGCAGCAGGAAGGAAUAUUAGUCAAUGGGGGCAACCCUGAACCAGCCAUGCCGCGUGCAUGACGACUGCCCGAUGGGUUGUAAACUGCAUUUGUUAGGGAAUAAACCCCGCUACGUGUAGCGGGCUGAAUGUACCUAAAGAAUAAGGAUCGGCUAACUCCGUGCCAGCCGCCGCGGUAA
rnacentral:rRNA from 1 species